rnacentral:lncRNA from 1 species
CCAAGUUCAUGACUUCCAAUGCUCUCACUCUCUCUCCCUCCCCCCUCUUCUCUACAUUUGUUUAGUCUUUCCACCAAAGUUCAUGCCUCUCUCUCUCUCUCUCUCUCACACACACACACACAAACACAUAGAAAUAAUGAACAGAAGAAGUUCACAACUUCAAUGCUCUCUCUCUCUCUCUCUCAAUUGACUAACAUUGGGUUAAUCUUACUCCAAAAUUCCUAAAUUUUAAUGCCCUCUCUCUCUACAUUUGCUUAAUCUUUCCUCCAAAGUUCAUGACUUUCAAUUGCNAUAGCCCUUGCCAAUCCCAACACCACAGCCAAUGCCAAAGCCUGUAAAAACUUGAGCCACCUUGAAAUUAAAUGGGUUCUCUAGCUUCAUCUUCUGCUUCUUCACAACCAUAACACCAUUUUUAACACUACCCUCCAUUUUUAUUCAACUAAAAAUAAGCUUUUCUCUCUUUACAAUUCUUCUAUGCAACAAGUAUAGAUACAGAUAUACAGUAUACUCUCCAAUUCCAUUUUCAUGGAAAGUAGAAGCCAAGUUAGCUCCGAUGAAGUCGAUAUCAAAACGGGUCAACCCGGCCCACUUCGGCAAACCCAACUCCUAGGCCCUAAUAUGUGUUUUGUCUCUUGAUUAUUUUAUGCAACAUAAACAUCCAUGAUCCAUUUUCUGCUUUCUUUUUUAGGUUUGACUUUUUCUUCUCUUCGGGUUUAUUUUUGUAUGUUAAUUUAUUUAUUUUUU